rnacentral:rRNA from 1 species
UCCUGACUGACCGAUAGUGAACCAGUACCGUGAGGGAAAGGCGAAAAGAACCCCGGCGAGGGGAGUGAAAAAGAACCUGAAACCGUGUACGUACAAGCAGUGGGAGCACCCUUUGGGGUGUGACUGCGUACCUUUUGUAUAAUGGGUCAGCGACUUAUAUUCUGUAGCAAGGUUAACCGUAUAGGGGAGCCGUAGGGAAACCGAGUCUUAACCGGGCGUUAAGUUGCAGGGUAUAGACCCGAAACCCGGUGAUCUAGCCAUGGGCAGGUUGAAGGUUGGGUAACACUAACUGGAGGACCGAACCGACUAAUGUUGAAAAAUUAGCGGAUGACCUGUGGCUGGGGGUGAAAGGCCAAUCAAACCGGGAGAUAGCUGGUUCUCCCCGAAAGCUAUUUAGGUAGCGCCUCGUGAAUUCAUCUCCGGGGGUAGAGCACUGUUUCGGCUAGGGGGCCAUCCCGGCUUACCAACCCGAUGCAAACUGCGAAUACCGGAGAAUGUUAUCACGGGAGACACACGGCGGGUGCUAACGUCCGUCGUGAAGAGGGAAACAACCCAGACCGCCAGCUAAGGUCCCAAAGUCAUGGUUAAGUGGGAAACGAUGUGGGAAGGCCCAGACAGCCAGGAUGUUGGCUUAGAAGCAGCCAUCAUUUAAAGAAAGCGUAAUAGCUCACUGGUCGAGUCGGCCUGCGCGGAAGAUGUAACGGGGCUAAACCAU